UUUAAAUUUCGAGAGUGACUCACAUUCUUUGUUCUUCAUACCGGAACGAUCUGUUUUCUGCGUAACCGUGGGACCACAUUUUGAUAAUUUUCCAGGGGAUCUGGAAUGCAAAUGUGUCUCGUGAGUUUAAAGGUUUUGCUUGGUCAAUGGUGGUUGUUUCUGUAGAAGUGGUGAGGAGAGCAUUAACCACGUAUUUUUGCAUUUCCGGUUGCUGUUGUCCUAAGGCAGAGAUUGUUGGAUAUUUUGUUGAUAAGAAGCUCCCUUUCACAGCUGUUAGUUCCGUAUAGGCAGGUGGUUGAAGCUGGGCCUUGUCACUUUGGGGGAAAACUUAUGGUGUUGAAACAAUGGCAACCCCAAAUGAUCCUGGUUAAGAUACGAGUCCUGUAAGGUGUUUGGGCAUAAGACUUGUCAGUCUAAGAAUGUUCCUAUAAGCUCUAAAUCACAGGUGUGGGUUGUAAAACCACAUGUUGCUCCUAUUGCUGGUGAAGUUCUAGCUCCAUUUGUGUGGGAUGAGGGGGUUGGUGUUGCUGCCUUGGGGCUCUCCUGUUUCUGUUUUAGCAGUUACUAAUGGGGCUGUUGAAAGGAUUCCUACAGUUGUGGACAUCAUGAAGAAGAAUGUGGAUGAAAAAGUACAGUCAAAAUGCUGAAAAAACAAUCACAAAACCAGUCACAAAUCCCGGGUCCAUUUUCACCUCAAAUCGGGCAAUUGCAGCAGCUUCCCAAGAUUGAUUUCCGCAACUUUUCCGGCCCAAUUGCGUUGCUCUGAUUUUGUUACCAAUUGAAGUCAGGAAUGUCUUUUUUUUUGCUUUGUUGUAAGGUUGUGAACAUAGUAUCGGUUGGCCAAUUUCGGGUUUUUUUUUCUUCCCGGUGUUUCCUUUGGCGGGCUCUCAAGGUUAUACCCUUGGCCAUUUUUUUGAUGUGGUUAAAAGAAUGGGAUGUAUGGCUAAUUUGUAUUGAAAUUUUGUUGGACCAUGACCUUGUUUAAUGGCCUUGUGUUUUGCGGUUGUGUUUUGGACUGA